rnacentral:rRNA from 1 species
UGCAGUGGGUACGGGCAGACUAGAGUGCGGUAGGGGAGAUUGGAAUUCCUGGUGUAGCGGUGGAAUGCGCAGAUAUCAGGAGGAACACCGAUGGCGAAGGCAGAUCUCUGGGCCGUAACUGACGCUGAGGAGCGAAAGCGUGGGGAGCAAACAGGCUUAGAUACCCUGGUAGUCCACGCCGUAAACGUUGGGAACUAGAUGUGGGGACCAUUCCACGGUCUCCGUGUCGUAGCUAACGCAUUAAGUUCCCCGCCUGGGGAGUACGGCCGCAAGGCUAAAACUCAAAGGAAUUGACGGGGGCCCGCACAAGCGGCGGAGCAUGCGGAUUAAUUCGAUGCAACGCGAAGAACCUUACCAAGGCUUGACAUAUACGAGAACGCGCUGGAGACAGCGAACUCUUUGGACACUCGUAUACAGGUGGUGCAUGGUUGUCGUCAGCUCGUGUCGUGAGAUGUUGGGUUAAGUCCCGCAACGAGCGCAACCCUCGUCCUAUGUUGCCAGCACGUCAUGGUGGGAACUCAUGGGAUACUGCCGGGGUCAACUCGGAGGAAGGUGGGGAUGAGGUCAAAUCAUCAUGCCCCUUAUGUCUUGGGCUUCACGCAUGCUACAAUGGCCGGUACAAUGGGCUGCGAUACCGCAAGGUGGAGCGAAUCCCAAAAAGCCGGUCUCAGUUCGGAUUGAGGUCUGCAACUCGACCUCAUGAAGUCGGAGUCGCUAGUAAUCGCAGAUCA